CUGACACAGGUGCUGCAUGGCGUGUCGUCAGCUCGUGUCGUGAGAUGUUGGGUUAAGGUCCCGUAACGAGCGCAACCCUUGUCCUUAGUUACCAGCACGUUAUGGUGGGCACUCUAAGGAGACUGCCGGUGACAAACCGGAGGAAGGUGGGGAGUGACGUCAAGUCAUCAUGGCCCUUACGGCCUGGGCUACACACGUGCUACAAUGGUCGGUACAAAGGGUUGCCAAGCCGCGAGGUGGAGCUAAUCCCAUAAAACCGAUCGUAGUCCGGAUCGCAGUCUGCAACUCGACUGCGUGAAGUCGGAAUCGCUAGUAAUCGUGAAUCAGAAUGUCACGGUGAAUACGUUCCCGGGCCUU
rnacentral:rRNA from 1 species